rnacentral:antisense_RNA from 21 species
CGCAAUAGUGAGGGGAUUUUUAGGUGCUGGCUAAUAUCGCCUAUUUUUUCUUAUUGUUACGUGUACGUAGCCAAUACGUAAAUAACGCAACAAUACAAC